UACGAAGGUCCCGAGCGUUGUUCGGAAUCACUGGGCGUAAAGGGAGCGUAGGCGGCGCGGUAAGUCAGAUGUGAAAUCCCGGGGCUCAACCCCGGAACUGCAUCCGAUACUGCCGUGCUAGAGUGAUGGAGAGGUAGCUGGAAUUCACGGUGUAGCAGUGAAAUGCGUGGAUAUCGUGAGGAACACUCGUGGCGAAAGCGAGCUACUGGACAUUUACUGACGCUGAGGCUCGAAGGCCAGGGUAGCGAAAGGG
rnacentral:rRNA from 1 species